UACGUAGGGUGCAAGCGUUGUCCGGAAUUAUUGGGCGUAAAGAGCUCGUAGGCGGUUUGUCGCGUCGAAUGUGAAAACCCGGGGCUCAACCCCGGGCCUGCAUUCGAUACGGGCAGGCUAGAGUUCGGUAGGGGAGUCUGGAAUUCCUGGUGUAGCGGUGAAAUGCGCAGAUAUCAGGAGGAACACCGGUGGCGAAGGCGGGACUCUGGGCCGAUACUGACGCUGAGGAGCGAAAGCGUGGGGAGCGAACAGG
rnacentral:rRNA from 1 species